rnacentral:rRNA from 1 species
UACGUAGGGUGCAAGCGUUGUCCGGAAUUAUUGGGCGUAAAGAGCUCGUAGGCGGUUUGUCGCGUCUGCUGUGAAAAUCCAGGGCUUAACCCUGGACCUGCAGUGGGUACGGGCAGACUAGAGUGCGGUAGGGGAGAUCGGAAUUCCUGGUGUAGCGGUGAAAUGCGCAGAUAUCAGGAGGAACACCGGUGGCGAAGGCGGCAUCCUGGACCGGCAUUGACGCUGAACAGCGAAAGCCAGGGGAGCAAACGGG